AUUGAACGCUGGCGGCAGGCCUAACACAUGCAAGUCGAACGGUAACAGGAAGGAGCUUGCUGCUUCGCUGACGAGUGGCGGACGGGUGAGUAAUGUCUGGGAAGCUGCCUGAUGGAGGGGGAUAACUACUGGAAACGGUAGCUAAUACCGCAUAAUGUCUCACGACCAAAGGGGGGGACCUUCUGGCCUCUUGCCAUCGGAUGUGCUCAGAUGGACUAAGCUUGUUGGUGGGGUAACGGCUCAACAAGGCGACGAACCCUAGCUGGUCUGAGAGGAUGACUCGCCACCUGGGAAGUGAGACACGGUCCAGACUCCUGCGGGAGGAAGCAGUGGGGAAUAUUGCAGAAAGGGCGAAAGGCGGAUGCAGCAAUGCCGCGUGUAUGAAGAAGGACUUCGGGUUGUAAAGUACUUUCAGCGGGGAGGAAGGGAGUAAAGUUAAUACCUGUGCUUAUUGACGGUACCCGCAGAAGAAGCACCGGCUAACUCCGUG
rnacentral:rRNA from 1 species